AAGUCGUAACAAGGUAUCCGUAGGUGAACCUGCGGAUGGAUCAUUAUCAAAAUAUUAUAACGUUUUUCCAAAAACGUUUAUAUAAACCAAUCUGUGAACUGUUCUCUGCCUUUGAGAGUAAGAGUUUUUGAAUGAUAGGUCAUUGGGUCUGAUAGUGAAACCAAUCCUUUCAUUUAUUCUAUGAUUCAUUUCAUAGAAUGCUUUUAUCUUUCAAAGUGUAUAAAUUUCACUAUUACUUAUUAACCAAUUAAACCAAAUAAUUAUUAUAUUUUCUAUGUGUGAACUGAAUUGUUUUCUUACUCUUACUAAUACUGAGAGAAGAAAUCUAUUCUACGAAACAUAUACAGAACAACUCUUAGCAACGGAUAUCUUGGUUCUC
rnacentral:misc_RNA from 1 species